rnacentral:rRNA from 1 species
CCUACGGGAGGCAGCAGUGGGGAAUUUUGGACAAUGGGCGCAAGCCUGAUCCAGCCAUGCCGCGUGUGGGAAGAAGGCCUUCGGGUUGUAAACCACUUUUGUCAGGGAAGAAACGGCUUUUUCUAAUACAGAGAGCUAAUGACGGUACCUGAAGAAUAAGCACCGGCUAACUACGUGCCAGCAGCCGCGGUAAUACGUAGGGUGCAAGCGUUAAUCGGAAUUACUGGGCGUAAAGCGUGCGCAGGCGGCUUUGCAAGACAGAUGUGAAAUCCCCGGGCUCAACCUGGGAACUGCAUUUGUGACUGCAUGGCUAGAGUACGGUAGAGGGGGAUGGAAUUCCGCGUGUAGCAGUGAAAUGCGUAGAUAUGCGGAGGAACACCGAUGGCGAAGGCAAUCCCCUGGACCUGUACUGACGCUCAUGCACGAAAGCGUGGGGAGCAAACAGGAUUAGAUACCCUGGUAGUCCACGCCCUAAACGAUGUCAACUGGUUGUUGGACGGCUUGCUGUUCAGUAACGAAGCUAACGCGUGAAGUUGACCGCCUGGGGAGUACGGCCGCAAGGUUGAAACUUAAAGGAAUUGACGG